AACGAACGCUGGCGGCAGGCUUAACACAUGCAAGUCGAGCGCCCCGCAAGGGGAGCGGCAGACGGGUGAGUAACGCGUGGGAAUCUACCCAUCUCUACGGAAUAACGCAUGGAAACGUGUGCUAAUACCGUAUACGUCCUUCGGGAGAAAGAUUUAUCGGAGAUGGAUGAGCCCGCGUUGGAUUAGCUAGUUGGUGGGGUAAAGGCCUACCAAGGCGACGAUCCAUAGCUGGUCUGAGAGAAUGAUCAGCCACACUGGGACUGAGACACGGCCCAGACUCCUACGGGAGGCAGCAGUGGGGAAUAUUGGACAAUGGGCGCAAGCCUGAUCCAGCCAUGCCGCGUGAGUGAUGAAGGCCCUAGGGUUGUAAAGCUCUUUCACCGGUGAAGAUAAUGACGGUAACCGGAGAAGAAGCCCCGGCUAACUUCGUGCCAGCCGCCGGAGUAACAC
rnacentral:rRNA from 1 species